rnacentral:lncRNA from 1 species
ACACCGCCGCGAGGGGAGAAAGCGAAACCACCUCUAGGGUCAUUUGCACAGGUCCCCGGACAGGGGCUGAAGCCACCUGUUGGGAGAGGAAGGCAAGAAAGCUAUGUAGGAGCCCCUCCGUGAAAAGGGCGUUUUAUUCCGAAAAAGAACCGGUGGGGGCUCAGCACCUGGAGCCAUUUUAGGGGGAGUUUCGGAUGUAGCGAGCUUUCCCUCGUUUCUCCACCUCUAAGGUCACGGUCACAGGAGACUGGGCAACUCCAGUUCUCCCUGUCCCCAGCCCUUCGCCUAGCCCUGGCAAAACCCAUUGCAUCAGCAGCUUCUACAGCUUCCGCCUGCGCCCUACCUGCCAAGCUUGGACAGGAAGAGGAAAGGAAAGAGAAACUUUACUCCAAUCCCCCCUCCUCUGUUAACUUCCCCUCCCACCCUCGAGCCCUAACUAGCCCCUGGGACGCCUCCUCCCCACCAACGCAUCCAUCCCCAGAGGAAAAAGCGAGGAUCUCAGAGCGCGACCUGGGCAGGCUCUCACGGAAGUCACCACGUUUGUGUAGGUAACUAAGGCCUACCGAAACCACUCAGCCCUAAGUGCACACAGGAGAACCAUGGAGUUGGAGGAAAAGGUAAUUUAACAUGAAUAUUUAUAUACUGUACAAACCACGUGCCAUGAUUCACUCAGCUUAUUUUCAUUUGAUGCAUUUUCUUCCCAUUUGCAGUCUUUAUUUAUUGCAAAGUUAAGGCUGUUAGCAAAAUAACACAUUGGGGUAAGCUUUCUUCUUUCUUUCCUUCCUUCCUCCCUCCCUCCCUCCAUCUCUCUCUCUCUCUCUCUCUCUUUCUUUCUUUCUUUCUUUUCCUGCUUUCUAAUGUAUCUCUGGGAAACUGAGCUAAUAUAGCAGCAAAAUUGGGCACCACUGCUAAUCCCCAAGACAUUGGCAGUGUUGUACUGAGCCUAGUAUUCUUGCCAGGCCUUUACUGCAGAUCACCGGACCUUGUAAACCCUGAGGCCACAGAACCAUGGCAGCUCACGUUAGUCAUCAUUUAGUAACAUGGGUGACUUAGGAAUCACCUGUGUCUCUGCUUUUCAAGGUAGGAAUGUAAGUACCAACUUUUCUAGAGGGUUCACCGGGUGCAAGAGACUUGGGUUCAUGGCCCAGUGUUGCUACCUGCUAGUUCUGUGAUGUUGGGCAAAUAACUUCAAAAUUCAG